UACGUAGGGUGCAAGCGUUAAUCGGAAUUACUGGGCGUAAAGCGUGCGCAGGCGGUUAUGCAAGACAGAUGUGAAAUCCCCGGGCUUAACCUGGGAACCGCAUUUGUGACUGCAUAGCUGGAGUACGGCAGAGGGGGAGUGGAAUUCCGCGUGUAGCAGUGAAAUGCGUAGAUAUGCGGAGGAACACCAAUGGCGAAGGCAGUCCCCUGGGCCUGUACUGACGCUCAUGCACGAAAGCGUGGGGGAGAAAAGGG
rnacentral:rRNA from 1 species